rnacentral:rRNA from 1 species
GAUGAACGCUGGCGGCGUGCCUAAUACAUGCAAGUCGAGCGAACAGACGAGGAGCUUGCUCCUCUGACGUUAGCGGCGGACGGGUGAGUAACACGUGGAUAACCUACCUAUCAGACUGGGAUAACUUCGGGAAACCGGAGCUAAUACCGGAUAAUAUAUUGAACCGCAUGGUUCAAUAGUGAAAGACGGUUUUGCUGUCACUUAUAGAUGGAUCCGCGCCGCAUUAGCUAGUUGGUAAGGUAACGGCUUACCAAGGCAACGAUGCGUAGCCGACCUGAGAGGGUGCUCGGCCACACUGGAACUGAGACACGGUCCAGACUCCUACGGGAGGCAGCAGUAGGGAAUCUUCCGCAAUGGGCGAAAGCCUGACGGAGCAACGCCGCGUGAGUGAUGAAGGUCUUCGGAUCGUAAAACUCUGUUAUUAGGGAAGAACAAAUGUGUAAGUAACUAUGCACGUCUUGACGGUACCUAAUCAGAAAGCCACGGCUAACUACGU